UAGGGAAUCUUCCACAAUGGACGCAAGUCUGAUGGAGCAACGCCGCGUGAGUGAAGAAGGUUUUCGGAUCGUAAAGCUCUGUUGUUGGUGAAGAAGGAUAGAGGUAGUAACUGGCCUUUAUUUGACGGUAAUCAACCAGAAAGUCACGGCUAACUACGUGCCAGCAGCCGCGGUAUACGUAGGUGGCAAGCGUUGUCCGGAUUUAUUGGGCGUAAAGCGAGCGCAGGCGGAAGAAUAAGUCUGAUGUGAAAGCCCUCGGCUUAACCGAGGAACUGCAUCGGAAACUGUUUUUCUUGAGUGCAGAAGAGGAGAGUGGAAUUCCAUGUGUAGCGGUGGAAUGCGUAGAUAUAUGGAAGAACACCAGUGGCGAAGGCGACUCUCUGGUCUGCAACUGACGCUGAGGCUCGAAAGCAUGGGUAGCGAACAGG
rnacentral:rRNA from 1 species